GGCGGCUUUAGCGCGGUGGUCCCACCUGACCCCAUGCCGAACUCAGAAGUGAAACGCCGUAGCGCCGAUGGUAGUGUGGGGCCUCCCCAUGCGAGAGUAGGGAACUGCCAGGC
rnacentral:rRNA from 1 species